GAUGAACGCUGGCGGCGUGCCUAACACAUGCAAGUCGAGCGAUUCUCUUCGGAGAAGAGCGGCGGACGGGUGAGUAACGCGUGGGUAACCUGCCCUGUACACACGGAUAACAUACCGAAAGGUAUGCUAAUACGGGAUAACAUAAGAAAUUCGCAUGUUUUUCUUAUCAAAGCUCCGGCGGUACAGGAUGGACCCGCGUCUGAUUAGCUAGUUGGUGAGGUAACGGCUCACCAAGGCGACGAUCAGUAGCCGACCUGAGAGGGUGAUCGGCCACAUUGGAACUGAGACACGGUCCAAACUCCUACGGGAGGCAGCAGUGGGGAAUAUUGCACAAUGGGCGAAAGCCUGAUGCAGCAACGCCGCGUGAGCGAUGAAGGCCUUCGGGUCGUAAAGCUCUGUCCUCAAGGAACGAUAAUGACGGUACUUGGAGGAGGAACGCCCCGGCUAACUACGUGCCAGCAGCCGCGGUAUCCUAGUCUACG
rnacentral:rRNA from 1 species